GCCGGGUAUGGUGAUGCAUGCCUGUAAUCCCGGUGGCUCGGGAGGCUGAGGCAGGAGGAUUGCAAGUUCAAAGCAACUCAAUGAGACCCUGUCUAUA
rnacentral:sRNA from 1 species